AACGAACGCUGGCGGCAUGCCUAACACAUGCAAGUCGAACGAGACCUUCGGGUCUAGUGGCGCACGGGUGCGUAACGCGUGGGAAUCUGCCCUUGGGUUCGGAAUAACAGUUGGAAACGACUGCUAAUACCGGAUGAUGACGUAAGUCCAAAGAUUUAUCGCCCAAGGAUGAGCCGCGUAGGAUUAGCUAGUUGGUGAGGUAAAGGCUCACCAAGGCGACGAUCCUUAGCUGGUCUGAGAGGAUGAUCAGCCACACUGGGACUGAGACACGGCCCAGACUCCUACGGGAGGCAGCAGUGGGGAAUAUUGGACAAUGGGCGAAAGCCUGAUCCAGCAAUGCCGCGUGAGUGAUGAAGGCCUUAGGGUUGUAAAGCUCUUUUACCCGGGAUGAUAAUGACAGUACCGGGAGAAUAAGCUCCGGCUAACUCCGUG
rnacentral:rRNA from 1 species